rnacentral:rRNA from 1 species
CGGAGGGAGCUAGCGUUGUUCGGAAUUACUGGGCGUAAAGCGCACGUAGGCGGCUUUGUAAGUUAGAGGUGAAAGCCUGGAGCUCAACUCCAGAAUUGCCUUUGAUACUGCAUGGCUUGAAUCCAGGAGAGGUGAGUGGAAUUCCGAGUGUAGAGGUGAAAUUCGUAGAUAUUCGGAAGAACACCAGUGGCGAAGGCGGCUCACUGGACUGGUAUUGACGCUGAGGUGCGAAAGCGUGGGAGCAAACAGGAUU